rnacentral:rRNA from 1 species
UACGAAGGGGGCUAGCGUUGCUCGGAAUUACUGGGCGUAAAGGGAGCGUAGGCGGAUAGUUUAGUCAGAGGUGAAAGCCCAGGGCUCAACCCUGGAAUUGCCUUUGAUACUGGCUAUCUUGAGUGUGGGAGAGGUUAGCGGAACUCCGAGUGUAGAGGUGAAAUUCGUAGAUAUUCGGAAGAACACCAGUGGCGAAGGCGGCUAACUGGCCCAUUACUGACGCUGAAGACGCGAAAGCGUGGGGAGCGAA